rnacentral:misc_RNA from 1 species
CAGCUCUCGUUUCCUCUGCCAGCUGGAGCAGGAUCUGUAGUCGACGAAAGAUCUCUAGAUAUUGAAAUUUGAAUUCUGCGAUGCGGGAUCCGUGUUAGCAAUACCAUUCUUUGAUCUAUCGGUCGUUAAAUUAUCAUUUUUUAUUUCUUGUGAAACGAUUGCUUUCUUUUCUGUAAUCGAAUUCGAUCUUGAGAGCUGAACAUCGAUAUGUCGGGAACGUUGGAUCGCUUCGCGAGGCCUUGCUUUGAGGGCUUUUCCGGCCAUGAUGAAAGGAGAGAACGGAAAUCAGAUUUUGAAAACUCAGAGGAUGACAGGAAGACUAGAAUUGGAAAUCUAAAGAGGAAAGCAAUGAAGGCAUCUAAAAAGAUCAGGCGUUCUCUCCAUAAGAGGAAGAGUAAAAGUAGCGGGGAAGGGAUUACUGCCGCAAUUGAGGAUGUUCGGGAUGUUGAAGAGCUGCGGGCUGUAGAUGCAUUUAGACAGGCGCUCAUUGCGGAUGCUUUGCUUCCUUCUAGACAUGAUGAUUAUCACAUGUUGCUGAGGUUCUUAAAGGCAAGAAAGUUUGACAUUGAAAAAGCAAAGCAAAUGUGGGCCAAUAUGAUUCAGUGGAGGAAAGACUUCGGCACUGACACAAUUAUGGAGGAUUUUGAGUUCGAUGAGCUGAAUGAAGUUCUAAAGAACUACCCUCAGAGUUAUCAUGGUGUAGAUAAAGAGGGUAGGCCCAUCUACAUUGAAAGACUAGGGAAAGUUGAUCCCAACAAACUUAUGCAAGUGACCACUAUGGAACGAUAUUUGAAAUAUCAUGUGCAGGAGUUUGAAAAGAGUUUUG